rnacentral:lncRNA from 1 species
UGGGCAUGGCAUGGACGACAAAGAGCAUGAUUUGAUUGCAUUAUUUGUAUUGUAUUGUUCAUGAACUAUUGGUUGUGUUUAUUGCAUUAUUUGUUGUACUGAACGAUAAACUAUUUGUUUGAGUUGUAAUAACUAUUUAUUGUUGAUUUAUUUUGUUUGUUUGAUCGUUUUUCUCCUAUUUUUUGAAAUGUAUAUGUGGUUUGUGCGUGCUGCGCGCGCUGCAUUUUUGGGCACUGCUGGAGCGGCGCGCGCGCUGCAUUAUAGCGCGGCUGUUGGAGCCAGCGCCUAUCCCCGCGCUAAACCAGCCGAAGCACGCACGGUAAAUACAUUUUUUAGGCGCGGCGCGAAGCGCGGCUGUUGGAGAUGCUCUAAG